AGCCAGGAAGCCAGUCCGAGUCCCAAAUUCCAGGCGGUGAAAUGGCAGCUGAACUGACAUUCAUUCAUUCAUUCAUUCAUCAAUCAAUCAUUCAUUCACCCCCACCAGCCUGCAGAGGUCCAAAAACAGAAAGCACAGCCUUGCCGAGCUGAGAAACAGGGAUUAGAGUUUGAGGCUCCAAACCUGCUGGGGCCUGAGGGAACUUGGAGAAAGAGCCCAAAGCCCUGAGUGCAAAUCCCCUUCAGGCCGUGGCCGCCCCCUAAGCUGAAUAUGCCCCCAAGAAACUCCAAGAAACCCAACAGAAAAGGCUCCCGGGAGGAUGGAGAGCUGAGCAGGGGUGUUGGCAGCUGCGACGGGCUGGAGACCAAGCCCUGUGGGGGGCGGGGGCUGGUGACCAUCACAGGCUUUCCCUUGGGAGCACAGAAGUUCCACUCCCUGGGAACAAGGGCUGUAACCCCCAAAGCCAGUCUGGACAGGGCUAACCUGGGCGCGAUGGCUCAUGCCUGUAAUCGCAGAGCAAAAAAAAAGAAUAAGAAAAGUUACAAGGUGUCUUAGUCUGUUACCUGUUGCUAUAGCUUAAGAGUGGGUAAUUUAUAGAGAAGAGAGGUUUGUUUCUUACAGUUCUGAAGGCUGGAGGUCCAAGAGCAUGGCGCUGGGCAAGAGCACGCCAGCCCAAGUCUCUCUUUCUCUUCUUUUCUUUCAAGAU
rnacentral:lncRNA from 1 species